AUUGAACGCUGGCGGCAUGCCUUACACAUGCAAGUCGAACGGUAACAGGCCUUCGGGCGCUGACGAGUGGCGAACGGGUGAGUAAUGCAUCGGAACGUGCCCAGUCGUGGGGGAUAACGCAGCGAAAGCUGUGCUAAUACCGCAUACGAUCUGCGGAUGAAAGCGGGGGACCUUAGGGCCUCGCGCGAUUGGAGCGGCCGAUGUCAGAUUAGGUAGUUGGUGGGGUAAAGGCCCACCAAGCCAACGAUCUGUAGCUGGUCUGAGAGGACGACCAGCCACACUGGGACUGAGACACGGCCCAGACUCCUACGGGAGGCAGCAGUGGGGAAUUUUGGACAAUGGACGCAAGUCUGAUCCAGCCAUUCCGCGUGCAGGAUGAAGGCCCUCGGGUUGUAAACUGCUUUUGUACGGAACGAAAAGGUCUCUCUUAAUACGGGGGGCUCAUGACGGUACCGUAAGAAUAAGCACCGGCUAACUACGUG
rnacentral:rRNA from 1 species